CAUCUGAUUAGAGUUUGAUCCUGGCUCAGGAUGGACGCUGGCGGCGUGCCUAAGACAUGCAAGUCGAGUGGGUUUAGGCCCACGGCGAACGGGUGAGUAAUACCUAGGAACUUUCUUUAAGUGGAGCAUAACCAGUCGAAAGAUUGGAUAAUUCUUCAUGUGGCAGUAAUGCUAAAGUCGCAAGACGCUUAAAGUGAGGCCUGGGCACCAUCAGCUAGUUGGUAAGGUAAUGGCUUACCAAGGCUAUGACGGUUAGGGGUCCCGAGAGGGAGAACCCCCACACUGGAACUGCGACACGGUCCAGACUCCUACGGGAGGCAGCAGUUUGGAAUUUUGGACAAUGGGCGAAAGCCUGAUCCAGCGACGCCGCGUGGACGAUGAAGGCCUUCGGGUCGUAA
rnacentral:rRNA from 1 species